GCCGGAGUGGUGGAAUGGUAGACACAAGGGACUUAAAAUCCCUCGGGCCGAAAUGCCCGUGCCGGUUCAAGUCCGGCCUCCGGCA
rnacentral:tRNA from 1 species